UGCUGUUAUCCCACCAAGGUGUUUGCAGGCGGUUGGGAUCAGUGGAAAGGCAGCCAAGGGGAGAGGACUAUCAGUGUGUGAAUCAGCUAUUCAUGUCCAUUUGGAGCACCCGUGAGAUUUUUUUUCACAUGGAGAAUUGUGCUCUGCUGGAGGAAAAGGACAGUCACCCAGAGAUUUAAGGCAGUGAAUGAUGGUGAACUAGCAACAUCUUCUGAAACAUGAUGGCCACCAAAAUCUGCCAACCUGCAUUGUGAGAGAGGGGGAGGGAGAGGAAGAGAGAAGGUUUUGGUACAUGGAAGUAGGAACACAUCUAUAACAACAUAUAUCAACCUUCUUAAAUGAUAACACACAGUGUGUUUUAGACAGUCAAGCCAAUAUUUAAUAGAAAUGUAAGUAAACAUGAUUUGAAGUAUUGUUCUUUUCUGACAUCAUCUCUUUGGUCAGUACGGAUUGGAGACCUGAACUGAGGUAUGUUGUUUAGCCAAAUUGCUCAUUUAGUUUCAUUAUGCAUACAGCUUUACUGACAGUAGAGAGACGAGAUUAUAAAAUCUUUAUGAAAAUCAUUCUCAAAGAAAUUAUAUUUUUCCUUUGAUAAUUUGUCUAUAUGAACUUAAUGCAGUUAUCUUGAUCAAGAAAUGGUAUGAAAGCUUAUAACCUUAGUCUUUCCUAACCUGCAAAAUACAUUAAUAAAGCAGACAUAAGAAUAUUCUACACCUUAAUAUAAAAUAAAUAUUUGCAGCUCAUUUACAUUGACAUUUACAUUUGGAUAAAAUAAAAAAGAGGCAGAUUCUUGCCUUAUGGAGCUACAAGUGUUACCUU